rnacentral:rRNA from 1 species
GACGAACGCUGGCGGCGUGCUUAACACAUGCAAGUCGAACGGAAAGGCCCUGCUUCUGUGGGGUGCUCGAGUGGCAAACGGGUGAGUAACACGUGAGUAACCUGCCCUUGACUUUGGGAUAACUUCAGGAAACUGGGGCUAAUACCGGAUAGGAGCUCCUGCUGCAUGGUGGGGGUUGGAAAGUUUCGGCGGUUGGGGAUGGACUCGCGGCUUAUCAGCUUGUUGGUGGGGUAGUGGCUUACCAAGGCUUUGACGGGUAGCCGGCCUGAGAGGGUGACCGGCCACAUUGGGACUGAGAUACGGCCCAGACUCCUACGGGAGGCAGCAGUGGGGAAUAUUGCACAAUGGGCGGAAGCCUGAUGCAGCAACGCCGCGUGCGGGAUGACGGCCUUCGGGUUGUAAACCGCUUUCGCCUGUGACGAAGCGUGAGUGACGGUAAUGGGUAAAGAAGCACCGGCUAACUACGUG